GGGUCUGCGUUUCAUUAGCUACCUUGGUAGGGUAAUGGCCUACCAAGGCAACGAUGAGUAGCUGGUCUGAGAGGAUGAUCAGCCACACUGGAACUGAAACACGGUCCAGACUCCUACGGGAGCCAGCAGCCGCGGUAAU
rnacentral:rRNA from 1 species